rnacentral:rRNA from 1 species
UUCUACGAGCUUAACACAUGCAUCUCNAACGGUGAAGUCGGAGCUUGCUCCGGCGGAUCAGUGGCGAACGGGUGAGUAACACGUGAGUAACCUGCCUCCGACUCUGGGAUAACUGCUANAAAUGGUAGCUAAUACCGGAUAUGACGACUGGCCGCAUGGUCUGGUCGUGGAAAGAAUUUCGGUUGGGGAUGGACUCGCGGCCUAUCAGGUUGUUGGUGAGGUAAUGGCUCACCAAGCCUACGACGGGUAGCCGGCCUGAGAGGGUGACCGGCCACACUGGGACUGAGACACGGCCCAGACUCCUACGGGAGGCAGCAGUGGGGAAUAUUGCACAAUGGGCGAAAGCCUGAUGCAGCAACGCCGCGUGAGGGAUGACGGCCUUCGGGUUGUAAACCUCUUUUCUAGGGAAGAAGCGAAAGUGACGGUACCUGCAGAAAAANCACCGGCUAACUACGUGCCAGCAGCCCCCGGUAUACGUAGGGGUGCAANCGUCGUCCCGGNAAUUUAUUUGGGCGUUAAAGAA